rnacentral:rRNA from 1 species
UUGUCCUUAGUUACCAGCACGUUAUGGUGGGCGACUCUAAGGAGACUGCCGGUGACAACCGGAGGAAGGUGGGGAUGACGUCAAGUCAUCAUGGCCCUUACGGCCUGGGCUACACACGUGCUACAAUGGUCGGUACAAAGGGUUGCCAAGCCGCGAGGUGGAGCUAAUCCCAUAAAACCGAUCGUAGUCCGGAUCGCAGUCUGCAACUCGACUGCGUGAAGUCGGAAUCGCUAGUAAUCGUGAAUCAGAAUGUCACGGUGAAUACGUUCCCGGGCCUU